AGUGAACGCUGGCGGCGUGCUUAAUACAUGCAAGUCGAACGAUGAAGUCCUAGCUUGCUAGGAUGGAUUAGUGGCGCACGGGUGAGUAAUAUAUAGUUAAUCUGCCUUGCACUGAGGAACAACAGUUGGAAACGAUUGCUAAUACCUCAUACUCCAACUUUACAUAAGUUAAGUUGGGAAAGUCUUUUCGGUGCAAGAUGAGACUAUAUCGUAUCAGCUAGUUGGUAAGGUAAUGGCUUACCAAGGCUAUGACGCGUAACUGGUCUGAGAGGAUGAUCAGUCACAUUGGAACUGAGACACGGUCCAAACUCCUACGGGAGGCAGCAGUAAGGAAUAUUGUGCAAUGGGGGAAACCCUGACGCAGCAACGCCGCGUGGAGGAUGACACUUUUCGGAGCGUAAACUCCUUUUGUUAGGGAAGAAUAAUGACGGUACCUAACGAAUAAGCACCGGCUAACUCCGU
rnacentral:rRNA from 1 species